rnacentral:tRNA from 1 species
GGUUUAAAGAAUGUUUGAGUGCAAAUCAAAUGGAGGGUCAGAUUGGCCCUUAAGCCU